AAUCGCAGAUCAGAAUGCUGCGGUGAAUACGUUCCCGGGUCUUGUACACACCGCCCGUCACACCAUGGGAGUUGGAAAUGCCCGAAGUCGGUGACCUAACCGAAAGGGAGGAGCCGCCGAAGGCAGGUCUGAUAACUGGGGUGAAGUCGUAACAAGGUAGC
rnacentral:rRNA from 1 species